rnacentral:rRNA from 1 species
GUGGAGCAUGUGGCUUAAUUUGACUCACGCGGGGAAUCUUACUAGGUCCGGACCGAUUCUAUGAUCGUCGUACUGUGGGGUGCUACGUGAUUACUGGAUGAGUGGUGCAUGGCCGUUCUUAGUUCGUGGUGUUAAUUGUCUACUUAAUUGUCAUCAGUUUAAUACAUGUAUUGAACUAUGAACGAACGAGAUCGAGACCCGUGGUUGCGUGUGUUUGAAUUCGGUAUUACUACGGGGAUCGCGUAUUACUCCACGGUACGAUCGAAAGACUCGGCAAUAACAGGUCUGUGAUGCCCUCAGAUGUUCURGGCUGCACACGUGCUACAGUGUGGUUCUGUUCAUAUGUGUAUGCGUAGACUUGAGAUCCCCCGCACCGAGUCAUAACUGGUCACACGGUUGGACUCACCGAUUGCCUUUUAUUCUGUAUCUUA